rnacentral:rRNA from 1 species
GAUGAACGCUGGCGGCGUGCCUAAUACAUGCAAGUCGAGCGAACGGACGAGAAGCUUGCUUCUCUGAUGUUAGCGGCGGACGGGUGAGUAACACGUGGAUAACCUACCUAUAAGACUGGGAUAACUUCGGGAAACCGGAGCUAAUACCGGAUAAUAUUUUGAACCGCAUGGUUCAAAAGUGAAAGACGGUCUUGCUGUCACUUAUAGAUGGAUCCGCGCUGCAUUAGCUAGUUGGUAAGGUAACGGCUUACCAAGGCAACGAUGCAUAGCCGACCUGAGAGGGUGAUCGGCCACACUGGAACUGAGACACGGUCCAGACUCCUACGGGAGGCAGCAGUAGGGAAUCUUCCGCAAUGGGCGAAAGCCUGACGGAGCAACGCCGCGUGAGUGAUGAAGGUCUUCGGAUCGUAAAACUCUGUUAUUAGGGAAGAACAUAUGUGUAAGUAACUGUGCACAUCUUGACGGUACCUAAUCAGAAAGCCACGGCUAACUACGUGCCCGCAGCCGCGGUAAUACGUAGGUGGCAAGCGUUAUCCGGAAUUAUUGGGCGUAAAGCGCGCGUAGGCGGUUUUUUAAGUCUGAUGUGAAAGCCCACGGCUCAACCGUGGAGGGUCAUUGGAAACUGGAAAACUUGAGUGCAGAAGAGGAAAGUGGAAUUCCAUGUGUAGCGGUGAAAUGCGCAGAGAUAUGGAGGAACACCAGUGGCGAAGGCGACUUUCUGGUCUGUAACUGACGCUGAUGUGCGAAAGCGUGGGGAUCAAACAGGAUUAGAUACCCUGGUAGUCCACGCCGUAAACGAUGAGUGCUAAGUGUUAGGGGGUUUCCGCCCCUUAGUGCUGCAGCUAACGCAUUAAGCACUCCGCCUGGGGAGUACGACCGCAAGGUUGAAACUCAAAGGAAUUGACGGGGACCCGCACAAGCGGUGGAGCAUGUGGUUUAAUUCGAAGCAACGCGAAGAACCUUACCAAAUCUUGACAUCCUUUGACAACUCUAGAGAUAGAGCUUUCCCCUUCGGGGGACAAAGUGACAGGUGGUGCAUGGUUGUCGUCAGCUCGUGUCGUGAGAUGUUGGGUUAAGUCCCGCAACGAGCGCAACCCUUAAGCUUAGUUGCCAUCAUUAAGUUGGGCACUCUAAGUUGACUGCCGGUGACAAACCGGAGGAAGGUGGGGAUGACGUCAAAUCAUCAUGCCCCUUAUGAUUUGGGCUACACACGUGCUACAAUGGACAAUACAAAGGGCAGCGAAACCGUGAGGUCAAGCAAAUCCCAUAAAGUUGUUCUCAGUUCGGAUUGUAGUCUGCAACUCGACUACAUGAAGCUGGAAUCGCUAGUAAUCGUAGAUCAGCAUGCUACGGUGAAUACGUUCCCGGGUCU